GACGAACGCUGGCGGCGUGCCUAAUACAUGCAAGUCGAACGCAGUGGGGACGGGGGAGUAACACGUGGGUAACCUCCCAUCAGAGGGGAUAACACUUGGCAACAGGUGCUAAACCGAUACUGAUGGAUGGCCCCGCGGUGCAUUUGCUAUUUGGUGAGGUAACGGCUCACCAAGGCCACGAUGCAUAAACGACCUGAGAGGGGGAUCGGCCACACGGGGACGGCAAAACGGCCCAGACUCCUACGGGAGGAAGCAGUGGGGAAUCUUCGGCAAUGGACGAAAGUCUAACCGAGCAACGCCGCGUGAGUGAAGAGGGUUUUCGGAUCGUAAACUUCUGUUGUUAGAGAAGCGGUAUCUAACCAGAAAGCCACGGCUAACUACGUGCCAGCAGCCGCGGUAAUAC
rnacentral:rRNA from 1 species